GCGCAGGUGGCGGAAUUGGCAGACGCGCUAGCUUGAGGUGCUAGAGCCCUAACCGGCGUGCGGGUUCAAGUCCCGCCCUGCGCACCA
rnacentral:tRNA from 3 species